UGGGAAUUUUGCACAAUGGGGGAAACCCUGAUGCAGCGACGCCGCGUGAUUUAGAAGGCCUUCGGGUUGUAAAAAUCUUUUCUAUGGGAAGAAAAUGACAGUACCAUAGGAAUAAGGACCGGCUAAUUACGUGCCAGCAGCCGCGGUAAUACGUAAGGUCCGAGCGUUGUCCGGAAUCAUUGGGCGUAAAGGGUACGUAGGCGGGUAAGCAAGUUAGAAGUGAAAUCCUAUAGCUCAACUAUAGUAAGCUUUUAAAACUGCUCAUCUUGAGGUAUGGAAGGGAAAGUGGAAUUCCUAGUGUAGCGGUGAAAUGCGCAGAUAUUAGGAGGAAUACCGGUGGCGAAGGCGACUUUCUGGCCAUAACCUGACGCUGAGGUACGAAAGCGUGGGUAGCAAUCAGG
rnacentral:rRNA from 1 species